UCAGUUUAAUUUAUAUUAAGAGUAUAGUUAUAACAGUGAUGGUGUAAAAAAUAUUUGCACAAUUAAAUCGCGUAUUACAAGUAGAUCUGAUAAUAAGCAUCAAAAAGCUGCCUUUUGUCUUGUUUUAUUAAACUAAAGAGCUGAGUAUGUAUAAAAAAAUGACAAAGUAGCAAGUAAUUAGAGGAACAAUGAAUUAGCGGACAUGCUUUUUUGAUAAUGAGUGGCGUUGAGUCUUGAACUCAAGACUUCUGUUUGCGCUCAUACCAUAAUAAAAUGUAUGACUAUCUCGUCUAAACGCUAAAAUUAUCAGAGUAUAUUACAUAAUUAUUACUUCAACAGGCCUCAGUUUAGAGUCUUCUCUCUUGGGUUGGAGCCAUGCACAAUAUACUUUAAAUUCUUGAAUGAAAAUUAUGUGAAAUAGUGGUGAUAAAAGUUCCAUUCGAACGCCAUUGCCCAUUAUCGACCUUAAAGAUGAAGGUCCGAGGUUGAGGUUGGCCAAAGCAACAUCAUCCUCGUAUCUUCAUCGUAUUACUAGCUCCAAUUUUCUUGCUCAAAUGAGUGUUCCAGAAUUGUUUACGGUGUUAUCUCCUGAAAAAAGAAAAGUAAAAGAAGAGACUCUUAGUUCAAAAGCUUAAAUUACAAGGGUUAACCAAGAAUAUUAUGAAGGAAAAAAAACUACAAGGAUUAAUUCAUAGCUACUGAAUCACAAGCACUAGAAAAUAAAGAGAAAAUAUGGAACGUUAACCUUUUCUCUAGUUUUUAUUUUAUAUCUCUAAGUUCGUACAUAUUAAAAAAAACAAAUAAUCAGCUUUUGGCAUUGAAAUAUAUGCAAAUAAACGCAUAUUCCUAACAAGCAAGCAAAGACCGUCUUACGAAGUUGGUUGUGAAAAUUAAGUGGGCGUUUGGACAUAAGAAUUGGUGAAAUCUCCGUUAAAAAAAACCAUCAAGUGAAAAUAAUAAUUGAAAAUUGGAGAUGUAUUUGAAUUUUUGAAAAUAAUAAAUGAAAAUUAGGCAUGAAUACAAUUUGAGUUGUUUUUGAAUUUUUGUGAGUGAUUUGAAGUAAAAAUUUUGAAAAAUAAUUUUUGGAGUUUCUCAAAUUUUCGAAAAAUUUCGAAAUUCAACUUCAAGUAAAAUUUGAAAUUUUUAUGGCCAAACACUAAUUCCAAGAAAAAGAAAAAAAAAAUCCGAAAAAAAAAGUGAUUUUUUUUUUAUUUUGUCCCUUUCCAAACUGUUUUCAUCGUUCAUAUAUGAGCAUGACGAGCAAAUUAUGAGUAAAUAUUAGCUUAAUCCAAAGAGCAUAAAUAGAUAUCAUUACCCCUAAGAACCCAAAAAAUAAUAAAAGAAAAGAAAUAACAAGUACAUUAACUACAGAAGAAGGACGAAAACGAAGUUGGGUUACAAGUUUGAACUUUGCAGGUAAAAUUAGGAGGGUUAAUUUCACGUAUAAUCACUGAAUUUUACCCACUAUCAUACAAAAUCAUCAUAAGACUACUUUUGUCAUAUUAAAAUAACUAAACUUUAUUAUUAUAAGAGUGAAAUCGCAUAAUUAACUAUACCAGAAAAUUGCUUCGGAAAGUCUUGAUCCUUGUGUUUCUCAUUACUCCAUCUAAUUUAUUGGCUUUCAAAAAAUGAGACACAAUAUGAAUAUUGAGAAGAGGCAUAACUAAUGGAAUAUAUUUCUAAGAUGGCUAGCUUUCAAU
rnacentral:lncRNA from 1 species